rnacentral:tRNA from 1 species
CGCGGGGUGGAGCAGUCUGGUAGCUCGUCGGGCUCAUAACCCGAAGGUUGCCGGUUCGAAUCCGGCCCCCGCAA